CUGUGUUUCCAGGGAAGGAAAUCUCAGCGCUCCGCAAGCUUCACAUCAUUGCGGGCAGCGAGGAGCAGGAAGCGCUCGUUAGGAAGGAGUGAGGAAACGGAGCCGCUGCCUCGACCCGAGCGGACUUUUUAGGACCGGAAAGUGGGAGUAGGAAGGCGUAAAAGUGCUUUGAGCUCUUGGAGAAGGUUGCAAAGGGCAAAGGGUGAGGGGAGCAUGAACAAAUACCACUUGAGGAGGGGGGAACCGGCAUGUGCGUGCAUGGAGAGGACUUCAUGGUGGAGCUGCUAAUUAAAUAAGAAAGGCUCGUCUCCACGCUUGUUAGGUUAACUCGACAGGGAUAUUGCAAAAGCAAAUUCCUCCCAGCAAGUGUAAUUAGGAGGCCGGAAUUCCUCCGGUUCCUCUGUCCUCCUUGUGGAUCCUGCUAAAGCCAUCAGGUGAGGACACAGGGUGAGGGGGGGACACACACGCAAGUCCUGUGCAAUAACAAACCCCCUCCCGGCAUGGCAAGGAUUUCACAUCAAGGCUUGACAUUUUUCUCUCUGAUUAUUCCAGGGUGGAAAAUACAUGUUCAACAAAACAGGCUCCCUCUCGGGACUGGGUCGCUGAGCUGCUCCCCCCAGGCCAACAUGCUUAUGUGGAAGGUGGAAAGAGGUGCCUGGGCAGGACACAGCGGAUCCCAGCCCACAGGAUUUGGGAGGUGUCUGCAAACAGCAUGGAGGUCCUGGAUGAUGCUGCUGACCUGCCAGCGAUCUGCUUCAUCUUCCUCACCAAGGGGAGGAUUGACCAUGGAUGGUUUGCUGAGGCUUUUACCCUGUGUCCCCAUCCAGGGUGGGGACGGACACCUCCGGCUGGCUGCUCUGGGAUGGGGAUCACCCUGACAGCAGUCUCCCGCAGGCAAAUACCCUACUGGGCAUAAUGACAACUGUCCUCAUUAUGGAAAUUCCUCCAUGAAAUGGGUUGAAAACUGCAAAGAGAAGGAAUUGGAGGAGAGAGGACUUGCUGCUUCAUGAUGGUCUGUGGGGGGAACGGAUGGAGCACAGGUUCAUGUGCCCGAUGAGCUUCUGCAAAGGUGACGCUUGCUCCUGCGUGUCAAGUUGGAGGUGGCUGGUGCCGGUGUUGGAGCAGACGGUCCAAGGUACAAACAGCAGUGGUGGGUGACAGUGUCACCUUCUGUGAGCAGUGAAGGGUAAAUCUUCCAGGAGUGUGGAGCCGAGAGGUGAGUUUGUGCAGUGCCCCUCGGUCUCAGCUGUGCCUCAUCAUAUUUGUUGAAUUAGGGAUGCUGAAUGUAGGUGAUGAAACCAAAGUCCAUUUGCAAGUCAUUAACAAAGAGCAAGGACAAUGAAUUUUGGUGCUGCCCUCUAGCAGAUUUGUUGCCUGUUCAGAAAGCUGCUCUGCGGAGGGACCCUGUGGCACAGGUGUCCUGUGUCUCAAAGGCAGCAAAAGCUCCUGCCUGCUCUGCUCCUCCAGCAUGGGGCUGUCCCAAGGCCGAGGCUACAUGAAAUUUUGGGAGCAGAGCUGGCCUGGGACACAGCAUGGCCUGUGCCAGCGAAGGCAGGGGGCACUGUGGGUGCAGGAACCGGCGGGGCAGGGGUGAGCAAGGAGGGCAGGCAGCGUGGAAGCCCAGCUUGCUGCCCCUGGGAUGUACAUCCUCCUCCUGCCUUCCCAGCUCCUGCGGGACCAGCUGGCAGCAGCGCUGUUCCCUUCGCCAGGGUGCUCUUGGGCUGUUGGCUGGGAUAAAGCAAAGAGGUUUUCACAUCCACUUGCUUGCUGGAAAUCUGCAGCCUGGUUUGGGGAUCAGGCUCACUCAUUCAUUUUUCUUUAUGAUGCUGAGUACUUCAGCUCCUGCAGUGCUGUCCCGUCAGCUCCUUUUCAAACAAGCCAAGUUUUUUAUAUCCCAAACAGCAGCCACUGCUAUCAGGGACCAGUGAGCUCUGUUAGGAUGCUCACUUGGAUGCUCUGGUUCUAUUACUCCUUUUUUAGCUAUAACACCUAAGUAGUUCACCUCCCCCAGUGCUGGUACUUGCUUGAUCCUUCAUUCCUGAGCUCUCGCCGUGUCCCUUCUAACUGUUGCUGUGGAUUUGCUCUUUCAGCACUACCUCCUCUAAAUCCUCCUCAGCUCUCUCUGAAUGCCUCCUGUUUGUACAACUGCUACCAACGGUUACAAUUAAAGUGUAUUGGCGUAAACAUCAACACUUUGAGCAGCAGGAAAGUGUGGUCAUGGCUGCCUGGGAUCCCAUGGAGAACAGAGCAGGGAGCAGAGGUGUGUUCCUGGUGGCUGGCCACAAGUUUGUCCUGAUCAUUAUGGGCAUGCAAGGAACAGAGGUAAGUGGUAGAGGGACAAGUGCCCUGCCAUGGAAGGGUGAGAAGAACUGUGAUUCUCUUGCACAGCCCCUUGGGGAGCCAGAUAAACCAGGUGCCUGCUAGAAAACAACCCUUGGAGGAAAAUCCACCCAGGCAAGUUGCUCAUGAGCAGCUGGCGCUGGGUCAGGACACCAGCCUGGUUUUAGGAGCAGCAUCCCCUGGGGCUGCCCUGAGCUCCUUGUUGCCAUUUCCUUCACUGGUCCCUUUUUUUCUUUGCAUGGCAGGUUUAUCGGAGAGGUGCUGAGCAUCGCCUUCCCCACUCUGAAGUGAUGCCACCGUGAUUCUCUGUGUGAAAAUUUCAUCCCGGCAGGAUAUUUGGUAAGCCAGCACCUCUGCUCUUCAGUCCAAGCUCUGGACCACUCCAGUUUGGACUAGCUUAAGAGUCAGAGGGCAAGAAGUGCCCAGGGCCUUUUUGUUUGUGCACCUGGCUGAGAGCAAAGACUCAUCAUAAUGAUGAGCUCUGGGACAGGUCCUUGCACAGCCACUCAGUCGCCUCGUACAGCCAGGAACUGGGAAGGAUGAGGAGAGAGGCCCGUUGUGUCCCCUGGGGGAUGGAUGCCAUGGGGGUGGGUCAUCAGAGUCACAGUGACACGAAGGUAGAGGCAGAGCCUGUGCGCCUAGGGCAACAUUUCCUCCAAGCGAGGAGGGACCCAAUGCGAUGUGCAGUGUGGCUCCUGCUUUAGCGCUGAGCUCGCCACUUCUCUGCUGCCCACCCCUGUGCUCUUGGAGGUGUUAGGAUGGGGUGUCCUCUCUUGCUAGUGUCCCACGCCAUGCUGAACACAAAGGCAUGGGAUGCUCCCACGCUGCUCUUUGCUCAGGUUGGCUUUACCAGCCGGCAGCUGUUGGGUUGCCGCAGCUGCAUCCCUGCUGGCCAAGUGAUGCUCUGCAUCCCACGGCUCUGCCACGUGGGCCACCACCACGCACAGCCCUCGUGUCCCCAUGGGAGAGGGUGCUCCCCACCACCCGUGGAGCCCUGGGGCAGCAGCGGCUGCGCAGAGCCAUGUAGGUGGCACCUAUGGGGGACCUUGCUGAGCCAAAACCAACAAAGCCAGGUCUGGCUGGUCACCAUGGGCGAGGCCCACGCUGACCCACAGAGCUUCCCCAGCCAUGAUGGGCAUGGCUGCUGCCCUCAGGAAGGAGGUGGCAGCUCAAAGGCACAACAUGGUGCCCGGCACAAGAUGGCGGGAGGGCUGGGUGGGGAGGACAGGGGUCUCGGCCAGCCCGCCAUGGCUCCAGCAGGGUGGGCCACCUCGGUUGUGUCUCCAGACCCUGGGGUGGCCCCGGAGGAGCUCCUAGGGCCCAGGGGACGUUUCCUGUUUGCUGCCCGUGCUGAAGCAUCGGCCCUUCAACCGCCGCCAGCGCUCCGCUUCCGGCAGGGGCUCCCGCCCGGAGCCCCCCUGCACUAUCAGCUCGCCAGAUGCCUUUUUCAGGAUACUGUGGUAAAACUGUGCUGGGCAGGCGCUGUCAUUUGGGGUUUUCUCUCGUGUCAGCCUCGAAGACAAAUUAGGUGAGGAGGAGCGAGAGAGGGGGGAAAGAAAAAAAAAAUAAUUAAACCAUUAAAAAAAAAAAGAAGAAGAAAGAUGCUCGUUGCCAUUCUCAGCCGGGCCUGGCCCGUGCGCCGGCGCGGCAAUGGGUCCCCCAAGCGGCGGGGCCGGCGGUGGGACAGGGCCAGGCAGGGUAGGCUGGGGUGGCCGCCAUGGUUGUGUGUCCUCCGGGGAGGUGUCGCCCUCUAGUGGUGGAGGAGGCGGUGAGGUGUCCUGGUGGCACCAUGGGACCACCAAGGCCAUGGGGACCUUAUCCGUUACCCCACCCCUGGCACUACCGUGUGUCCCUGAGAACCUCAUCUCCGUCUGUCCAACCCUCCAGGGCUGGUGACUCCAGCACUGCCCUGGGCAGCCUGUUCCAAUGCCCCACAGCCCUUUGGGGAAGAAAUUGUUCCCCACAUCCAACCUCAACCUCCCCUGGCGCAACUUGAGGCCGUUUCCUCUGCUCCUGGCACUUGUUCCUGGGGAGCAGAGCCCGACCCCCCUGGCUCCAAGCUCCUUUCAGGCAGUUCAGAGAUCAGAAGGUCUCCCCUCAGCUCCUGUUCUCCAGCUGAACCCCCCAGGUCCCUCAGCCGCUCCCCAUAAGAUGAUGUUGAGCAACCACCAGACUGGGUGGACUGGGAGCCAGGCAGCACCACUGGGUAUGGAGGGAGGGAAACAGUCAAAGAGCACGUGGGGAAACCCGUCUGUCUGUCUGCAGAGCUGUGCAGGGGGUGGCUGCCAGGUCUUGGCGUCCCCAAGGAGCUGUGCCCCACUAUGGGGGAUGGCCCAUGGACAGAUGAAGUGGGACAGACCAUGGAUGCUGUUUAUCCUGGGAGCUCACCAAAAACCCCUGUGCUGGUAUGGGGUGUGCAUAGGGGUGUGCACAUGAGUGUGCAGGCAGGUGUGCGCUCCCCGGGGCUGUCACUCAGCAGGUGACAUUAAAGCACGGCUUUGCAUGAGGCCCUUGGCGUGUGCUCCGGCUGUCCCUGCCUCCCUGGGAACUGGGGGGUCAGGCUGGCUGGAUGCUUCCUCGGGGAGCACAGAGACGUGGCAGCCUCUAGAGCCAACUGCAGACCUGUAGGAUUUCCUCUGAGUUAAGCCCGGUGAGUUUAUUUGGUUGGAUGCUGAAAUUUGGUUGGAUGCGGAGCAGAGGGGAGGUAUCAGCUAUCAGCGUGGGGAGGGGAGAUGGGGUCGAUGAUGGCACAGAAAUAGUGCUGGGCUAUCCAGUCCCACGGGGUGGAUGGGGGGCUGGCUGGGGUCAGAGGGUGUG